rnacentral:rRNA from 1 species
UACGUAGGGGGCAAGCGUUGUCCGGAAUUAUUGGGCGUAAAGAGCGUGUAGGCGGUUCGGUAAGUCCGCUGUGAAAGUCGGGGGCUCAACCCUCGAAAGCCGGUGGAUACUGUCGGGCUAGAGUACGGAAGAGGCGAGUGGAAUUCCUGGUGUAGCGGUGAAAUGCGCAGAUAUCAGGAGGAACACCAAUUGCGAAGGCAGCUCGCUGGGACGUUACUGACGCUGAGACGCGAAAGCGCGGGGAGCAAACAGG